rnacentral:rRNA from 1 species
AACGAACGCUGGCGGCAGGCCUAACACAUGCAAGUCGAACGCUCUAGCAAUAGAGAGUGGCAGACGGGUGAGUAACGCGUGGGAACCUUCCCAAUGGUGCGGAAUAGCCCAGGGAAACUUGGGGUAAUACCGCAUAAGCCCUUAGGGGGAAAGAUUUAGCGCCAUUGGAUGGGCCCGCGUCGGAUUAGCUAGUUGGUGAGGUACUGGCGCACCAAGGCAACGAUCCGUAGCUGGGUUGAGAGAAUGACCAGCCACACUGGGACUGAGACACGGCCCAGACUCCUGCGGGAGGCAGCAGUGGGGAAUCUUGGACAAUGGGCUCAAGCCUGAUCCAGCCAUGCCGCGUGAGUGACGAAGGCCUUAGGGUUGUAAAGCUCUUUUGCCGGGGACGAUAAUGACGGUACCCGGAGAAUAAGUCCCGGCUAACUUCGUGCCAGCAGCCGCCGUAACAC